UAAUUUUCGGGUCCGAGUCAUAAACCCUCCUCCCUCCCCACCUCCCCUUCCCUCCCCUCCCCUCGACUGCGCGGCCGCGAAGCCGAACCCUAGCCCGAGACACCCCCUCCCCCUCCAGUCCACAGCGUUUCCAGCAGAGGAGAAUGAGCAGGCGCUGGAGCAGGACGAUCUAUGUUGGCAACCUCCCCGGCGACAUCCGGGAGAGGGAGGUUGAGGACCUCUUCUACAAGUAUGGACGUAUCGUUGAUAUCGACUUGAAGGUUCCUCCAAGGCCUCCUGGCUAUGCUUUUGUCGAGUUUGAAGAUCCUCGUGAUGCUGAAGAUGCUUGUGCUGGACGGGAUGGCUACAACUUUGAUGGAAACCGUCUAAGAGUGGAACCUGCUCAUGGUGGGAGAGGUAGUGGUGGCCCCUCUCAUGACCGUUCAAGCAGCUUUGGUGGUGGUGGUGGCGGCGGCGGCGGCGGACGCCGUGGUGUGUCCAGGCACACGGAUUACCGUGUUCUGGUUACCGGCCUGCCUUCUUCUGCAUCCUGGCAAGAUUUAAAGGACCAUAUGCGAAGGGCUGGUGAUGUUUGUUUCUCAGAAGUGUAUCGUGAAGGCUCUGGCACCACCGGGAUUGUUGAUUACACAAACUAUGAUGAUAUGAAAUAUGCUAUAAAGAAAUUGGAUGACACUGAAUUUAAGAAUGCCUUUUCUAAAGGUUAUAUAAGGGUGAAGGAAUAUGAUGCUAAACGUGGGCGCUCCUACUCACGUAGCCGAAGCCCAAGUCGUAGCCACAGCAAAAGCAGGAGCCCAAGCAAAUCUCCCAGGGGCCGCUCAGCAUCUAGGUCCAGAUCAAGGUCUCUUUCUUCCCGUUCUCGGUCUGCAUCAAAAGGGCGUUCUCCGUCAAGACUCGAUUGUCUCUUCGUUUUAUCUGGGAUUGUGCGGCGAUCUUGGGGAUUGUGCAUUAGGAUAUUGAGGAUGGAAUUUGCUCAAUUUGGUACAAUUCUGUUGGUUGUAUGAGAGCUUGGGCAUAGCGCAUUGUUUGGAAUUCUGGACAAUAAAGAGCAUUAAGGAUUAUGAUGGUACAGUGGCUAGGAAUGUGCUUGGAGUUCAAUGCUUGAGGAAUGGUUGUUUUCCUACCUUGGGCACUCUUAACAUGGCCUUUGUAGCUUGCAUGCACUGACUGCAUUCAACACCGAUUUUUUGCAUUUCUGCAUGAUUUGAACUCAUGUAACUGAGUGCUUCUGUUUUCCUUGAGCUCUUUUUGCUUUGAUUCGGUUAGUCCAAUGCUGGGCGAAGCAUGAAGGCUUUUGGACUCAAGCUGUUAAUGGUGCAUUUUGGAUAUUGAAUUCGGUUGUUUGUGGAACUUUUGCAGAUCACCAGCAAGAUCCAAAUCCCCGAUUGCUUCUCCGGCAAAUGGUGCAGUAGCAAGUCCCAAGAAGCGCAGCCCAAGCAGGAGCCCAUCUCGUUCACGGUCUCCUGAUGCAAAAUCUGAAUAGAUGCAUUGCACCGGUGCAGGUUCUGGCGUGAGCUUGUGUCUGCGUAUUUGUUAAGCUCAAUGCAUCUCAAGUUCUAUUGGAACGUUAGGAACUGUGCAAUGAGUAUACUCCAGUAUUAAGAGUAUGUACUUGUAUCGCCUAAGACAUUGAGCUUGAGUACUAUCAUGUCCUGCAGCCGGUCUUGUUUUCUCCAAUUAUUAUUUAAAUUUUACCUUCUGGAUCCGUUGGUUAAAAUUCAUGUACUGUGAUUGUGGAUUUUCACUUCAAUUAUUUUCCUCAGAAGACA